ensembl:lncRNA
UAGCCGGCGGUGCAGCAUACCACACCACCCACCCCCACCUUCACGUAGAACCCCCGGCCCCCUUCGCUAAUUCUGGCGCCGUUCGUUCGACUGAAGACGGUGUUAAUUACUGCCAGAGCGUUAAUUGCGAAGCUCAUCCCCAGGAGAUGCCACGCGGUGGAUGUGAUAGAAGGCAAAUAUCAGGAAGCCAGUCGCUUUUAAAUCUCUGCAAGCUGGCAUUUUUUAGGGCAGCUGUGUCCUUGUAAUGGCUCUACCAGUCCCACCCCCCACACGCACGCACACACACACACACACACACACACACACACACACACACACACACACACACACACACACACACACACACACACACACACACACACCCUCUGGCAUGAGGAUACUCGAUGACCCACCAGAUUCUAUGCUAUAUACACGGUAUAAAUACAAUCAGCUAUACACUGUAAAAAUCCAACCUGCUUUACACUGUAUGAAUAGAAUCAGAUAUACACUGUAUAAAUGCAACCAGCUAUACACUGCAUAAAUACAACCAGCUAUACACUGUAUAAAUACAACCAGCUAUACACUGCAUAAAUACAACCAGCUAUACACUGUAUAAAUACAACCAGUUAUACACUGCAUAAAUACAACCAGGUAGACACUGUAUAAAUACAAACCGCUUUACACUGUAUAAACACAAACUUCUAUACACUGAAUAAAUACAACCUGCUUUAUACUGGAUAAAUACAACCAGCUAUGCACUGCAUAGAUACAACCAGCUAUACACUGCAUAAAUACCACCAACUACACUGAAUGUAUAUAAUAUAAAUAUAUAGCUGUAUAUAUGUACACUUUAUAAUCAAUAGCACGUAUAUAUUAAUAUCCUGUUAACGAGCUUAAUAUAUAUAAACUGUACAAGUACCCAUUCCUAUAGAUUGCGCUGUGUUUUUCUGUAACAACCAGAACAGUAAAACAUAAAUGGCUGUGUGCAUCUUCGGUCUUGUCGCAUAACCACACAAUACCACAGUACAGAGAGUAAGAGAGCAGUCUGUACUGUCGGAGCGGAGUACUAAUCAAGUCAUUAUUUACUAUGAGAUGGCUGUGGAAUUGAAACAAAAGGGGGGAAGAAAUGAAAGAGAGGGAAUAUAUUGUUUCCAGUUCAUUUCCAGUUUACGGAGGAAAGUACAAUCCCAGUGACCCACCUGAGACUUUUGGGCACAGAAGCGGGACAGAAAGCUAAAGUUAGGGAAGGUUUUGUGUGUGUGUGUGUGUGUGUGUGUGUGUGUGUGUGUGUGUGUGUGUGUGUGUGUGUGUGUGUGUGUGUGUGUGUGUGUGUGUGUGUGUGUGUGUGUGUGUGCUGGCGUGUG